UACGUAGGCAGCAAGCGUUGUUCGGAAUACUGGGCGUAAAGAGUGUGUAGGCGGUGUUCCAAGUCUGGUGUGAAAUCUCCCGGCUUAACUGGGAGGGUGCAUUAGAAACUGGAAUGCUAGAGGAUGGGAGAGGUAAGCGGAAUUCCUGGUGUAGCGGUGAAAUGCGUAGAUAUCAGGAGGAACACCGAUGGCGAAGGCAGCUCGCUGGGACGGUACUGACGCUGGAGGCGACGAAAGCGUGGGGAGCAAACAGG
rnacentral:rRNA from 1 species